rnacentral:lncRNA from 1 species
AAAGAAGCCGACUAAAACCUACCAAAACCAAGAUGGCCAUGAAGAGUGACCUUUGGUCAUUCUCACUGCUACACUCUCACCAGUGCCAAGACAGUUUACAAAUGCCAUGGCAAUGACAGGAAGUUCCCCUAUAUGGUCUAAAAAGGGGAGGCAUGAAUAAUCCACUCCUUGUUUAGCAUAUCAUCAAGAAAUAACCAUAAAAAUGGGUAACCAGCAGCCCUUGUGGCUGCUCUGUCUAUGGAGUAGCCAUUCUUUUAUUCCUCUACUUUCUUAACAAACUUGCUUUUGCUUUGCACUGUGGACUCUCCCUGAAUUUUUUCUUGCCCAAGAUCCAAGAACCUUCUCUUGGGGUCUGGAUCAGGACCGCUUUCCUGUAACAUCUUUCUGGCAACCACAAAGGGAUGAUACUGAAGAGACCCCCUAAUCUCAACUGAAAAUCAUCUGCUUGCACCAAUUUUGGCUGACUUUGGAGCCCUGAGUCACCAUUUAAGAAGUCCGACUACCCUGCUGAAGAGAUCACAUGGAGGGGCUCUGAGACUACAGCCUGAGAGCUGUUCCCACCAAGGUGUCAGGCUUGUGACUGAAGCCAUCUUGGAUGUUCCAGACUGGCCCAGGUCAGCUGGGGCUCUGCUCUGCAUCUUCCUCCCUCUGGAACCCUAGCUGAGUGAGUGGUCACUAUCUGGAACAUUGCUGGCCAUUGUGACAGAGGGGGCACUGAGCUCUGGAGGGUUUCACACAGGUCCUAAAACCUAGGAAGACUUUUCUGACCUUCCCCUGAAGCAGGCCUAAGACCCUCCUGUGAGAGACCAGGCUGGGCGAUACAGCGAGACCCUGCCUCGAAAACACCAUCACCACCACCACCACAAACAGCAGCAAAACCCCACCCAGGUUUAAUUACUUCUUCAGGUCUUCAUUUUUUUUCAUGUAUAACUUACAUUAAAUAAAUUAGUAUGCUUUCUUCUUCUUAAUCUGUCUUUUGUUACAGGGGUUCCAGACAAUGAACCUAAGAUAGAUAGAAGGAAAAGAUAAGUUGCCUCCCCUAUGAAGGCUAAGGCAACAUGUUGAGCCAAGAUACACCAGAUUCUAGAACCUGAGCAUUUAGCUUCAACCUCUUGGGGUUAUCUCCAGCCUCCAACUGGUGGGGGGUCAGCCCCUGAACCAAAGGUUUGUGUUUCCAAGAUUUCUGUCAAUGUACUGGUCACAGGGAUGGGCUCAGGCAGCUGUGGGUGGAGGAGAAGCAGAGAGGAGAGUGGGCAAUGGUGGCCCCAAAUGUGGUCCAGAAAUGGUUCCUGCUGGAGGUUACAGGAGAGGACAGGGUGAAUGGAUGAGUCAGACUACCAGUAUCACUUGGGGCUCAAAUAUAGCAUGUGAGAGUCCCUGCCUUUGCCACACUAGACAAGGGGGUUUGGCUCAAAAUAGCACAGAGGGGGGUUCUGUAGCAGUGAGAGAAAUCUAGCAUAGUUGACUCCAUCUUGCUUCUAACCCCCAAGCAAACUGCCUUUGCUCAUUCCUGCAUGUAGGCCCAGCUAACUAUGGGAGGAAUUUAGUGUAUAGCUUAACUUUAAAGCAAGGAUGAUAAUAGGGCCUUCCCCAAACUAACCCCUGAGGAGAUAAGAAGGGCAUACACCCAAGAACAAUGUUAUGCUAAAGACUUGUAGGAGUGCUGUGACCUGAACAAAGAAAAAGAAGUUAUGAAACUCCCUCAGACUCUUGCUGACACCCAGAUGUCUGUGGUCACCUGUCACCUCCUGACCUUAACCCCCUCCUUGUUCCCUUUACCCAAUAUAAAAAGAAGCUUGAGAUUCAUACCUUUGAAGAUGGUCCUUUAGGACACCAGUCUGCCAUCUUCUCAGUUUGCUGGCUUCCUGAAAUAAAGUCACUUUCCUUUAUUUGGAAAGAAUAGUUGAGUAUGUCUUGUCUUAUUGGCUGUUGUGAGACGAGUGGUAUGAGCUUUGGAUUUGGCUACGGUUCCAGAAUGAACUCUGGUGUUGGGCAGAGCUGGCUCACUUACCAGAUCUGGUGCAAAGCCCUUAAUCCGAGCCUUAGUUUCCUCUGUAAAGUAGGGAUGAUAAUAAUAUACAUCUUGUAGGAUUAUUGUGAGGAUUAAAUGAAAUAAUGUGGUAAAGCAUUUAGCACAGCACCUGAUACACAUGAAGUGUUCCAUAAAUGGUGUCUAGAAUAACGUAGUAGCAAUCAUAAAAUAAAAACAACCACAAAAACCAGCUACUAAUGGUUUCCUGAUCUCUCUCACACAGUAAAUAAAUCCUUGUGUGAAA